rnacentral:tRNA from 1 species
GUCAAUUUGGCCGAGCGGUUAAGGCGUAUGACUCGAAAUCAUAUGGGGUUUCCCGCGCAGGUUCAAAUCCUGCAGUUGACG